rnacentral:rRNA from 1 species
UACGGGGGGGGGUAAGCGUUGUUCGGAAUUACUGGGCGUAAAGGGCUCGUAGGCGGCCAACUAAGUCAGACGUGAAAUCCCUCAGCUUAACUGGGGAACUGCGUCUGAUACUGGAUGGCUUGGAUUCGGGAGAGGAAUGCGGAAUUCCAGGUGUAGCGGUGAAAUGCGUAGAUAUCGGGAGGAACACCAGUGGCGAAGGCGGCCAUCUGGACGGUGACUGACGCUGAGACGCGAAAGCGUGGGGAGCAAACAGG